CAAGGGGAACUGAGUGAUGAGGUGAUAAUGAGGAGAAAAUGUUCUGCCCUGUUCCGGGCCAGGCUGGUACAAAGCAGGACCACAGGGAUGAGACUGUACCUGGGUGUUUAAAAAUCUUUCUUCAUUUGGGAUAAACAGCAUGGUGAAAAUUCAUAAUCGGAAUGAAAAAGAGGAGGAAGAGGCUGCAGCAGCAAUGAGGACAGACAAAAGCCAUCUCAGAGUCUCACCCGGGCAGCCGCUCCCCACCUCAGGGACCUCUAGGGGAGGCGCCCCCUGAACUGUUCCAGGGCCCCAGAGUUCCAGCCCCGUGGAGGAUAAGCAACUACCCAGCGAUAUUCACCUGAAAUUCCUUAGGGUCCUGGGAACCUCCAGAGUCUUUAUAGGUGCUCCAAUCUAUUCAAUCCCAGAUAUACCAGCUCAUUAAGGACACCCGUCCCACCCCAUUGGACCUUGCAGAGCAGCCAACACACCCCUUCCAGCCUGGAGACUCUGUCCUUAUUAAAAGAUUCGUCACCUCCGGCCUCACUCUCUGUUAGAAGUGACCCUACACGGUUAUCCUGACUACACCCACUGCACUCAAGAUGGACGGACUAACGGCCUAGAUUCACAUCACGUCAAGAAUGCCCCACCAGAAAGACAAUGGAGCAUCAAACACUCAUCCCCCGACUCACUAAAGCUAAGACUUGUGCACUCUUCGCGGUCACCACCCUCACCACCCUAAUCUGUGCUAUAAAUCCCUAUAGCAAACCCCCGAUUGGAACCCACCUACUAUCAAUGGGUCAUCACCGAGGGCUCCACUGGAGGAUAUGUUAGUUCCGUAACCAGGAAGGGAGCCACCCUAGUCAAUUUAACCCUGGAAUACAUUCCAAAGAACCCCAUUACCUUCUCCCUAGACCUCUGUGCCCUCCUGGGCCCCAACCUAAAUUUCAGAACAAGUGGAGGUGUAGCAGGGCGCAGCAGUUUAGGGGUAGAGCAACAACUCCAGACCAUGGGGUUAUAUCUGUGCCUAGGACCCACCCCACAAAAAAGAUAGAACUGUGGAGACUUAAAUGAAUUCUUUUGCCCCCGUUGGGGCUGUGAAACUAUCUCCACUAUAUCAGGAUAUACCAAAAACAUAGAUUCCUUCAUCUCUUUUAACCAAGACUCUCCCCCAUCCUCAUGCUACACUAGGUCUUGUAACCCACUCAGAAUAACUGUAACUACCCCAGAUGGUAGAUGGACAACAGGGUGAAUCUGGGUUCUCAGAGUAUAUAUGAGUGGGUGGGACAUGGGAAACAUCUUUACCAUCCAGCGUAUAACCCUGCCCAGACCCAAACGCCCUAUAGGACCCAUUGCCCAGGUCAUACAACAAGAGGCCCCCUUAAAAAUACAAAGCCCCCUCAUCCAGAUAAUCAAUACCCCCCCUUGACAAUCUUCCCCUACAACUCCAACUCAGCUUGAAGAGGACACAACCCUGUUAACCUUGUUGUCCUCGGCUCACCACCUCCUCAACAAAUCUAACCCAAAUUUAGGAAAAGACUGUUGGCUCUGUCUAAACGCACAACCACCAUUUUAUGCCGGGUUGGCUUCCCAAUUAUCUGCCAACCUGUCCGAUUCUUCAUGCUCCCAAUCCACACUCCAUUUAACCCUGGGAGACAUAGAAAGGUAUAGGCACUGCUACCACUCCCCAAAUUACACCCUUGCAAGUUCUCCCUAUGGGCACUAUUGUAAUGUCUCCCACGAUGUAACAUGUAAUAGUAAAAACCUUUACCAUCAGGACCCAGAUACCACUUGGUUAGCCCGCACUUUUAGCCUCACCAACUGCAUUUCCACAUACCAGUUCAGCAGCUCCACUCCCAUACUCUGCACCCUGGUACACAUCCUCCCCAGAGUUGACAUUUAUGAUGGCCAACAGGGACUUAACCUCCUGACCCCAUCGGAUAUUAUUACUGCUCGAUAAAAGCGAGUCCCUAUCGUCAUCCCCCUACUGGUUGGAUUAAGGCACUGCUGGCUCCACUGUAGUUAGAAUAUCAGCUCUAAUAACUAGGGACCAAAAUUUUAAAACUCUCUCUCGGCACAUAGAUACUGACCUAAGCCACUUAGAAAACUCCAUUUCCCAACUCACUGAUCAGGUUGAGUCUUUAGCUGAAAUAGUCCUCCAAAAUAGGCAAAGACUAGAUUUACUAUUCUUAAAGCAAGGGGGGUUAUGUGCCGCCCUUAACAAACAAUGUUGCAUCUAUGCUAAUAGGUCAGGCCUCAUCCAAGAGAGCUUCUCCCUGGUCAGACAGAAUCUCAAAACCAGAAAACAACUUCGAGAAGCUUCGGAAAGUUAGUAUCAAAAAAUGUUUUCCAGGUCCCGUUGGCUCACUUCCCUCCUCACCGGCCUGGUGGGACAUCUGGCCCUACUCUUACUGGGUCUCAUGUUUGGCCCCUGCCUCCUAAACCAACUGCUCAAGUUCAUAAAAUCUGGGGUAGACUCCAUAAAAUUAAUAAUAUUAAGGUCUCAAUAUGAGUCCUUAGAACAAACAAACAAUACUAACCAGUUAGAGGAAUCAAUGAUUUAAUUCCUGUAAAUAAAACAAGGGGGGAAUGUGACAUGGUAAAAAGCCCCAUAAACUGCAUACCUCAACCAUACCUCAGCUUUCUGUUGAAACUGCUCUCUAUAACCCAAAUGUGAAUAAGUAAUAAAGGACUGUGAUCCCCACCCUACCCAGACAAUGUGUAAAUGAAUGCUAAUCUUGGCUUUUGUGAACCACUUAAGUAACAAUCAGAAUGUAAAAAAGUCCCCUGGCCCUCGGAAUGUCCAGAGCCCCUCACGCUCAUCUUCGCCCAGAAACCCACUGGAGUGUCCGGAAUCCCCUCACCCUCACCUCAUUUCCGCCCAGAAGGUGAUUUGCAGAAUCCACUAGCCCUCGGAAUGUCUGGAGCCCCUCACCCCCACCCCCGCCCCUCACCCUCACUCCCAAGAUAAUUUUUACCAGUAUAAAAGGUCUUAGCACCCUCCUUUCAGGGACACGGGUUGGAGAGACGUGAGUCCUCCUUAGC